rnacentral:rRNA from 1 species
AAGCGGAGGAAAAGAAACUAACAAGGAUUCCCCUAGUAGCGGCGAGCGAAGCGGGAAGAGCUCAAAUUUAUAAUCUGGCACCUUCGGUGUCCGAGUUGUAAUCUCUAGAAAUGUUUUCCGCGUUGGACCGCACACAAGUCUGUUGGAAUACAGCGGCAUAGUGGUGAGACCCCCGUAUAUGGUGCGGACGCCCAGCGCUUUGUGAUACAUUUUCGAAGAGUCGAGUUGUUUGGGAAUGCAGCUCAAAUUGGGUGGUAAAUUCCAUCUAAAGCUAAAUAUUGGCGAGAGACCGAUAGCGAACAAGUACCGUGAGGGAAAGAUGAAAAGCACUUUGGAAAGAGAGUUAACAGUACGUGAAAUUGUUGGAAGGGAAACGCUUGAAGUCAGACUUGCUUGCCGAGCAAUCGGUUUGCAGGCCAGCAUCAGUUUUCCGGGAUGGAUAAUGGUAGAGAGAAGGUAGCAGUUUCGGCUGUGUUAUAGCUCUCUGCUGGAUACAUCUUGGGGGACUGAGGAACGCAGUGUGCCUUUGGCGGGGGUUUCGACCUCUUCACACUUAGGAUGCUGGUGGAAUGGCUUUAAACGACCCGUCUUGAAACACGGGAC